UUGACAAAAGUGAAGGUUAGUAUGAAUUUGAUUCCUAUAGUUCUCAAUUUCUCGGAUGCAAUAUAUUAAUAUGAUCAUAUUUUUUUUCACUGUAUAUUGUAAAAUGGCACUUCUUGUCGACUUGCGAUUGGGACCAAGGACAAUGUCAUCGGUGUUGGAACUAUUUUCGACUACGACAUGGAUGAUGACAACGUGAAGGUAUCAGUGGACAUGGUUUUCGAUGGUAAUUGUUUCGUCCCUAUUCCAACAAGGGAAGGUAGAAUUAUGCUUUCCCAAGAAGUCGGUUCACAAUUGUUAUGGCCUCGUCAUUUGGUCAUUCCUCUAGACGAGAAGAUGAAAAGCGUGUACCAAGCUGAUCCGCGAUUACCGUAGUUGACACUGAAUACAAAGAGAGCAUCAGUUACACUACGAUUGUUGCUAUGGGAACUUGAUUUUAUUGGGUCGAAGAUUCAAAUUCACGUACCUGCUAAAGUUUUUGGGUAUCAACGAAAAUGUUGCAUAUUCCUUUAGGCACUCCAAGAAUUUUGUCAAAUGAAGCCUAUAUCAAUCCAAUGCAUUGAUGCAUUCAUGUUCCACCUCUACAAAGUGAUGGAAGAGAAAGGAACGUUGGGAUCCUACAAGUUUGCAAACGCUGACUCUGUUUCAGUUGAUAUAAGUAAAGAAGAUCGAGCAUAGGUCCUGAAGCUAGAUUGCUUGGGACCGACCAUCGUCUGAUUUUGAUGUUUCUAUACAAUUUAGGAAACCAUUGGUGUCUAGUUGCCAUCGAUUUCACAAGGGGCACUACAUAUUGGAUGGAUCCUUUGAGAAACCGAAUUAACAAUGAUGCCUCUGAUGUCGUCCAGAUGGCUUUCGACAUUUCGAGUAGGAAGAAGCCUGUUUGGAAGAUAAUCAAGGUAUGAGGGGUAGGGAUUUAGUAGAAGAAAGAGGUAAAUAUGCUUUAUGUUUUGCAACUGUAACAUAGGUAUUUUGUUAUUCUUUUUCUCUGAUGGAUAGUGUUCAAAGAAAGGUGGCAUUGUGGAGUGCGGGUAUUAUGUCAUGCGAUUCAUGUGUGAUAUAAUAUUAUCAAGCAACAGGACAAUCAUUGAAGUAUUAAGUAUUUCAUUUUACCUUUUUGAACUACUUAUGUUAUUUACAACUGUUGCAUAUUAAAUCAUUUUUAAAUGAUGAAUAGAUGGAAGGAUCAACCUCGACAUACUCACAGGAUGAUUUAGAUGUCGUAAGAACAGAG